ACAACACGGAUGUAAAUGGCAGAGCCUGUGUCUGCCUCAUCAGUAUAAGGACUUGGGAAUCUGGACACUAUUAGCCAGAUAUGUGUGUCUGUGGAAGAAGCCACAGACAUUCCCAGCAGAAGGACAAGAAUUGGUAUUACCCGCUAUCUCAUCACUAUUGGAAGAGUCCCUGGAGGAAGUGCAUUAACAGAACAAAGAGCUCUGGAA